AAUGUGUAUUUUAUUCAUUAUUCCAUUUUCUUCUUUUGUUCAACAAUAUUUACCUGUUAUUGUUGUGAAUUUGACAUGAUUCAUCCGGUUAACAAGAUAGUGAUGAAACUUGUGAGCUUUGAUCAUUAGCUAGAUCUACUAACACCAAAUGAGAUAGUUUUUAGAGUCAGGUGUCUUAAAAAAAACUAUGUAUGCAAAGAGAAUGAGGGCAGUGUCAUCGACGACACCAGUGGUGGCAUGGCUACGAGCACUGCAUAUGAAUCUUGAGACGAUAUAUGAAUCUUGAUACCAUGUUGGAAGGAUUAAUAUUGUUCACGAUUCUCUUGGAAUCUAUGAAAAAUUAUGUUAUUGAUUUAUUGAAUCAUUACAAUUGAGUUAGAUCUAUUUAUAGAUAUUUCUAAUAAUCUGUUGUAGGCUUGUAGCAGGGCGGGGCUUGGGACUGACUGGCAUAUGUUAGCCUGUUUGUCAGGUUAUGCAUAAAUGUUUCUAACUAUGUUAGAUAUUUAGUUCCACUGAUGCGUAAUGAUGCGAUUACAUCUCGAUUGUGGUUGCAACAGCUGCCACCAUAAAAUGCCAUACACCGGUGAUUGGAUUACACCGCAAUUCUGCACUAGCUGCACGAUUGACAACCCAGUUUCAAGUUAACAAUGAUUAAUGACAAACUUUCUCGAUGUAUUCAAGGUGACACGGUUUUUUUCUCCUGCCAAUGGGGAAAGAAGAAUAUGCAAUUUGCAGUUCAUUAUCCUAGAAGAGAAAGGCAAAAUACUUUAGGUUGCCAAUGUCAUGGAUGUCUUGAUGUCACCACAACAAUCUCAACUGGAUACUGAUGAUCCAACUGCAAGCUACAUGUUACAAGUAUAAUCUUUUUUUUCCUUCCAUGCCCUAUCUGUUCAGGUUUACUUGCCCUGUCUGUUCUAGAGUUUACUUAUUUUCCUCUCUCGAUUAUAGAUAAUUUGACAGAGGCACUUUUGUUCUUGUCUCAUUUUGUCGGGGAUGUACAUCUGAUUUGUUCUUUCUGGUUCCUAUUCGAAAUCUAAUGAACAAUUGAAUGAAUACUUGAUUUAUGUAUACCAAUAUAGAGGUGCCAUAUAUUGGGCUUUAUUACGGAA